CCCCCAGGACAAGCGCCCUGUCCUGGCUGUGGUUCCCAGCCCGGCCGCUCGAUGCCACCCUGGAGGGAAGGAGGGCCUCAACGCCUCACCUGGGGGAGCACAGUACACACACACCCAGGUCUUUAUUGCAGUGGCUGGCUUAAGACUGGCCCCAUCGGGGUCAUUGCCAUCACCAUGAACAACAGUUUCGACACAGCGUCGUGGAGGACGUCACCUCACCUCUGGCUGCCUGGACGUGACCUCUGCCAAGCCUGGAUCUACGGGGAUCCCCCUGCUGGACAAGAGAGGCGUGAAGCCGGUGUCCUUCUCGGACUGGGAGAAGAUCAACCAGGAGGAGAGGAGGAGAGG